CUUUACAGGAGCCAGCCGUCGAAGGUGGGGCCAAUGAUUGGGGUGAAGUCGUAACAAGGUAGCCGUAUCGGAAGGUGCGGCUGGAUCACCUCCUUUCUAAGGA
rnacentral:rRNA from 1 species